UUCGGAGCAACACAGACGGAUGCUGAAAGGGUCCAAAGCAGGCUCUAGAAUGCAUUUUAGAAGAUGUUAUUCAUGCUCUGGGAGAAAGUCCCCGGACACUUGGGCAGAGAGUGCCAGCCAAUGAAGGCCGGACCCUUCUGAUACGCAGGUGAACGUGUUGAGCUGGGAGGAACUUUGUUCUUUCGCAGUUCCCCGUUCCGUCAUCGCCACUCUCGCGGAGAU
rnacentral:RNase_MRP_RNA from 19 species